rnacentral:rRNA from 1 species
UACGAAUGGGGCAAGCGUUGUUCGGAAUCACUGGGCUUAAAGCGUGCGCAGGCGGUCUUGCAAGUCAGAAGUGAAAGCCCGGGGCUUAACCCCGGAAUUGCUUUUGAAACUGCAAGACUAGAAUAUGGGAGAGGUUAGCAGAAUUCCGAGUGUAGAGGUGAAAUUCGCAGAUAUUCGGAGGAAUACCAGUGGCGAAGGCGGCUAACUGGACCAUUAUUGACGCUCAGGCACGAAAGCGUGGGGAGCAAAC